GAAAUACCAAAAUGGAUAGUGGGUUGGACUUCUAAUCCGAAGGUCAUGGGUUUGAAUUCCACCAGGGAUG